rnacentral:rRNA from 1 species
UCUUAAUUGGGCGUUAAGUUGCAGGGUAUAGACCCGAAACCCGGUGAUCUAGCCAUGGGCAGGUUGAAGGUUGGGUAACACUAACUGGAGGACCGAACCGACUAAUGUUGAAAAAUUAGCGGAUGACCUGUGGCUGGGGGUGAAAGGCCAAUCAAACCGGGAGAUAGCUGGUUCUCCCCGAAAGCUAUUUAGGUAGCGCCUCGUGAAUUCAUCUCCGGGGGUAGAGCACUGUUUCGGCUAGGGGGCCAUCCCGGCUUACCAACCCGAUGCAAACUGCGAAUACCGGAGAAUGUUAUCACGGGAGACACACGGCGGGUGCUAACGUCCGUCGUGAAGAGGGAAACAACCCAGACCGCCAGCUAAGGUCCCAAAGUCAUGGUUAAGUGGGAAACGAUGUGGGAAGGCCCAGACAGCCAGGAUGUUGGCUUAGAAGCAGCCAUCAUUUAAAGAAAGCGUAAUAGCUCACUGGUCGAGUCGGCCUGCGCGGAAGAUGUAACGGGGCUAAACCAUGCACCGAAGCUGCGGCAGCGAACGUAUCACUUAAAGCGAUUCAGCGGGUUACGAUUGACGGAGCGAAGCGACGUCAAAGCGUAUACAAAGUCGAGUCGGUUUAAGGAUACGUUCGUUGGGUAGGGGAGCGUUCUGUAAGCCUGUGAAGGUGUGUCGUGAGGC